rnacentral:rRNA from 1 species
AUGUUAGCGGCGGACGGGUGAGUAACACGUGGGUAACCUGCCUGUAAGACUGGGAUAACUCCGGGAAACCGGAGCUAAUACCGGAUAGUUCCUUGAACCGCAUGGUUCAAGGAUGAAAGACGGUUUCGGCUGUCACUUACAGAUGGACCCGCGGCGCAUUAGCUAGUUGGUGAGGUAACGGCUCACCAAGGCGACGAUGCGUAGCCGACCUGAGAGGGUGAUCGGCCACACUGGGACUGAGACACGGCCCAGACUCCUACGGGAGGCAGCAGUAGGGAAUCUUCCGCAAUGGACGAAAGUCUGACGGAGCAACGCCGCGUGAGUGAUGAAGGUUUUCGGAUCGUAAAGCUCUGUUGUUAGGGAAGAACAAGUGCAAGAGUAACUGCUUGCACCUUGACGGUACCUAACCAGAAAGCCACGGCUAACUACGUGCCAGCAGCCGCGGUAAUACGUAGGUGGCAAGCGUUGUCCGGAAUUAUUGGGCGUAAAGGGCUCGCAGGCGGUUUCUUAAGUCUGAUGUGAAAGCCCCCGGCUCAACCGGGGAGGGUCAUUGGAAACUGGGAAACUUGAGUGCAGAAGAGGAGAGUGGAAUUCCACGUGUAGCGGUGAAAUGCGUAGAGAUGUGGAGGAACACCAGUGGCGAAGGCGACUCUCUGGUCUGUAACUGACGCUGAGGAGCGAAAGCGUGGGGAGCGAACAGGAUUAGAUA